rnacentral:rRNA from 1 species
UUCCGGUUGAUCCUGCCGGACCUGACUGCUAUCGGAUUAAUACUAAGCCAUGCGAGUUUUUGUAGUAAUACAAGGCAUACGGCUCAGUAACACGUAGUCAACCUACCCUAUGGACGAGGAUAAUCUCGGGAAACUGAGCAUAAUACUCGAUAGAUCAUAAUGCCUGGAAUGGUUUAUGGUUGAAAUGAUUCGUUCGCCAUAGGAUGGGACUGCGGCCUAUCAGCUUGUUGGUGGGGUAAUGGCCCACCAAGGCGAUUACAGGUACGGGCUCUGAGAGGAGAAGCCCGGAGAUGGGUGCUGAGACACGGACCCAGGCCCUAUGGGGCGCAGCAGGCGAGAAAACUUUGCAAUGUGCGAAAGCACGACAAGGUUAGUCCGAGUGAUUUCUGCUAAAGAAAUCUUUUGCAAGUCAUAAAACCACUAGUGAAUAAGGGGUGGGCAAGUUCUGGCGUCAGCCGCCGCGGUAAAACCAGCACCUCAAGUGGUCAGGAUGAUUAUUGGGCCUAAAGCAUCCGUAGCCGGCUCUGUAAGUUUUCGGUUAAAUCUAUGCGCUCAACGUAUGGGCUGCCGAAAAUACUGUAGAGAUAGGGAGUGGGAGAGGUAGACGGUACUCGGUAGGAAGGGGUAAAAUCCUUUGAUCUAUCGAUGACCACCUGUGGCGAAGGCGGUCUACCAGAACACGUUCGACGGUGAGGGAUGAAAGCUGGGGGAGCAAACCGGAUUAGAUACCCGGGUAGUCCCAGCUGUAAACGAUGCAGACUCGAUGAUGCAUUGGCAUAUAGUCCGGUGCAGUGUCGCAGGAAGCCGUUAAGUCUGCCGCCUGGGAAGUACGUACGCAAGUAUGAAACUUAAAGGAAUUGGCGGGGGAGCACCACAGGGGUGAAGCCUGCGGUUCAAUUGGAGUCAACGCCGGA